rnacentral:rRNA from 1 species
CUUUCCCUCUUUAUGCAGGCCUAACACAUGCAAGUCGAGCGGAGCGGCGGACGGGUGAGUAAUGCCUGGGAAUCUGCCUGGUAGUGGGGGAUAACGUCCGGAAACGGGCGCUAAUACCGCAUACUAUCAGAUGAGCCUAGGUCGGAUUAGCUAGUUGGUGGGGUAAAUUCCUCCAAAGGCCACGAUCCGUAACUGGUCUGAGAGGAUGAUCAGCAACCGUGGAAAGGAGACACGGUCCAGACUCCUACGGGAGGCAGCAGUGGGGAAUAUUGGACAAUGGGCGAAAGCCUGAUCCAGCCAUGCCGCGUGUGUGAAGAAGGUCUUCGGAUUGUAAAGCACUUUAAGUUGGGAGGCGUUACCAACAGAAUAAGCACCGGCUAACUUCGUGCCAGCAGCCGCGGUAAUAC